UUUAACUGAGCGUUCAGUUACUUGACGUAGACCCGAAACCGGGCGACCUACCCAUGAGCAGGAUGAAGCGAAAGUAAAAUUUCGUGGAGGUCCGAACCCACGAGCGUUGAAAAGCUCGGGGAUGACUUGUGGGUAGCGGUGAAAUUCCAAUCGAGCCCGGAGAUAGCUGGUUCUCCCCGAAAUAGCUUUAGGGCUAGCCUCAAGGUGAGAGAUACGGAGGUAGAGCACUGAAUGUCCUAGGGGGUAUUGCACCUACCGAAGACUAUCAAACUCCGAAUGCCGUCAUCUUAUACUUGGGAGUCAGACUGUGGGUGAUAAGAUUCAUAGUCGAAAGGGCAACAGCCCAGAUCGUCAGCUAAGGUCCCUAAAUGUAAGUUAAGUGGUAAAGGAUGUGGGAUUGCACAGACAACCAGGAUGUUGGCUUAGAAGCAGCCACUCAUUCAAAGAGUGCGUAAUAGCUCACUGGUCGAGUGAUCCUGCGCCGAAGAUUUCCGGGGCUAAAACUUACUACCGAAGCUACGGCAUCAGUAAUGAUGGGUAGGGGAGCUUCCCAUACGGGUUGAAGCAUGACCGUAAGGACAUGUGGACAGUAUGGGAGUGAGAAUGUUGGCAUGAGUAGCGAGAUGUGGGUGAGAAUCCCACAGGCCGUAAACCCAAGGUUUCCAGGGGAAGGUUCGUCCGCCCUGGGUUAGUCGGGACCUAAGCUGAGGCCGAAAGGCGUAGGUGAUGGACAACAGGUUGAUAUUCCUGUACUACCGAUA
rnacentral:rRNA from 1 species